rnacentral:rRNA from 1 species
UGUAUAAUGGGUCAGCGACUUAUAUUCUGUAGCAAGGUUAACCGAAUAGGGGAGCCGAAGGGAAACCGAGUCUUAACUGGGCGUUAAGUUGCAGGGUAUAGACCCGAAACCCGGUGAUCUAGCCAUGGGCAGGUUGAAGGUUGGGUAACACUAACUGGAGGACCGAACCGACUAAUGUUGAAAAAUUAGCGGAUGACUUGUGGCUGGGGGUGAAAGGCCAAUCAAACCGGGAGAUAGCUGGUUCUCCCCGAAAGCUAUUUAGGUAGCGCCUCGUGAAUUCAUCUCCGGGGGUAGAGCACUGUUUCGGCAAGGGGGUCAUCCCGACUUACCAACCCGAUGCAAACUGCGAAUACCGGAGAAUGUUAUCACGGGAGACACACGGCGGGUGCUAACGUCCGUCGUGAAGAGGGAAACAACCCAGACCGCCAGCUAAGGUCCCAAAGUCAUGGUUAAGUGGGAAACGAUGUGGGAAGGCCCAGACAGCCAGGAUGUUGGCUUAGAAGCAGCCAUCAUUUAAAGAAAGCGUAAUAGCUCACUGGUCGAGUCGGCCUGCGCGGAAGAUGUAACGGGGCUAAACCAUGCACCGAAGCUGCGGCAGCGACGCUUAUGCGUUGUUGGGUAGGGGAGCGUUCUGUAAGCCUGCGAAGGUGUGCUGUGAGGCAUGCUGGAGGUAUCAG